rnacentral:tRNA from 3 species
GCUCCCUUAGCUCAGUUGGUCAGAGCAACCGGCUCAUAACCGGUGGGUCCAAGGUUCAAAUCCUUGAGGGAGCACCA